CUAAUACAUGCAAGUCGAGCGCAGGAAGCAGACUGAUCUCCUUCGGGAGUGACGUUUGUGGAAUGAGCGGCGGACGGGUGAGUAACGCGUGGGCAACCUGCCUGUAAGACCGGGAUAACUCGCGGAAACGUGAGCUAAUACCGGAUAAGGCUCCAUGCCGCAUGGCAUGGGGAUGAAAGACGGCUUAGCUGUCGCUUGCAGAUGGGCCCGCGGCGCAUUAGCUAGUUGGUGGGGUAAUGGCCUACCAAGGCGACGAUGCGUAGCCGACCUGAGAGGGUGACCGGCCACACUGGGACUGAGACACGGCCCAGACUCCUACGGGAGGCAGCAGUAGGGAAUCUUCCGCAAUGGGCGCAAGUCUGACGGAGCAACGCCGCGUGAGCGAUGAAGGUCUUCGGAUCGUAAAGCUCUGUUGUCAGGGAAGAACACGUGUGAGAGUAACUGCUCACACCUUGACGGUACCUAACCAGAAAGCCCCGGCUAACUACGUGCCAGCAGCCGCGGUAAUACGUAGGGGGCGAGCGUUGUCCGGAAUUAUUGGGCGUAAAGGGUGCGUAGGCAGUCUUCUAAGUCUGAUGUGAAAGCCCCCGGCUUAACCGGGGAGGGUCAUUGGAAACUGGAAGACUUGAGUGCAGAAGAGGAGAGCGGAAUUCCACGUGUAGCGGUGAAAUGCGUAGAGAUGUGGAGGAACACCAGUGGCGAAGGCGG
rnacentral:rRNA from 1 species